rnacentral:rRNA from 1 species
GAUGAACGCUGGCGGCGUGCCUAAUACAUGCAAGUCGAGCGAACGGACGAGAAGCUUGCUUCUCUGAUGUUAGCGGCGGACGGGUGAGUAACACGUGGAUAACCUACCUAUAAGACUGGGAUAACUUCGGGAAACCGGAGCUAAUACCGGAUAAUAUUUUGAACCGCAUGGUUCAAAAGUUAAAGACGGUCUUGCUGUCACUUAUAGAUGGUUCCGCGGUGCAUUAGCUAGUUGGUAAGGUAACGGCUUACCAAGGCAACGAUGCAUAGCCGACCUGAGAGGGUGAUCGGCCAAACUGGAACUGAGACAAGGGCCAGAAUCCUAAGGGAGGCAGCAGUAGGGAAUCUUCCGCAAUGGGCGAAAGCCUGACGGAGCAACGCCGCGGGAGUGAUGAAGGGCUUCGGAUCGUAAAACUCUGUUAUUAGGGAAGAACAUAUGUGUAAGUAACUGUGCACAUCUUGACGGUACCUAAUCAGAAAGCCACGGCUAACUAAGUG